rnacentral:rRNA from 1 species
AGGCGGAUAUUUAAGUCAGAGGUGAAAUCUCCGGGCUCAACCCGGAAACUGCCUUUGAUACUGCAAAUCUCGAGUCCGGAAGAGGUGAGUGGAAUUCCUAGUGUAGAGGUGAAAUUCGUAGAUAUUAGGAAGAACACCAGUGGCGAAGGCGGCUCACUGGUCCGGUACUGACGCUGAGGUGCGAAAGCGUGGGGAGCAAACAGG